rnacentral:rRNA from 1 species
GUGGGGAAUCUUCCGCAAUGGACGAAAGUCUGACGGAGCAACGCCGCGUGAACGAUGACGGCCUUCGGGUUGUAAAGUUCUGUUAUACGGGACGAAUGGUACGACGGCCAAUACCCGUCGUAAGUGACGGUACCGUAAGAGAAAGCCACGGCUAACUACGUGCCAGCAGCCGCGGUAAUACGUAGGUGGCAAGCGUUGUCCGGAAUUAUUGGGCGUAAAGGGCGCGCAGGCGGCGUCGUAAGUCGGUCUUAAAAGUGCGGGGCUUAACCCCGUGAGGGGACCGAAACUGCGAUGCUAGAGUAUCGGAGAGGAAAGCGGAAUUCCUAGUGUAGCGGUGAAAUGCGUAGAUAUUAGGAGGAACACCAGUGGCGAAGGCGACUUUCUGGACUGUAACUGACGCUGAGGCUCGAAAGCCAGGGGAGCGAACGGGAUUAGAAACCCUGGUAGUCC